UGGGGAAUUUUGGACAAUGGGCGAAAGCCUGAUCCAGCAAUGCCGCGUGUAUGAAGAAGGCCUUCGGGUUGUAAAGCACUUUUGUCCGGAAAGAAAUCCUCUGGGUUAAUACCUCGGGGGGAUGACGGUACCGGAAGAAUAAGCACCGGCUAACUACGUGCCAGCAGCCGCGGUAAUACGUAGGGUGCAAGCGUUAAUCGGAAUUACUGGGCGUAAAGCGUGCGCAGGCGGUUUUGUAAGACGGAUGUGAAAUCCCCGGGCUUAACCUGGGAACUGCAUUCGUGACUGCAAGGCUAGAGUAUGGCAGAGGGGGGUUAGAAUUCCACGUGUGAGCAGUGAAAUGCGUAGAGAUGUGGAGGAAUACCGAUGGCGAAGGCAGCCCCCUGGGCCAAUACUGACGCUCAUGCACGAAAGCGUGGGGA
rnacentral:rRNA from 1 species